rnacentral:rRNA from 1 species
AACGAACGCUGGCGGCAUGCCUAACACAUGCAAGUCGAACGAGACCUUCGGGUCUAGUGGCGCACGGGUGCGUAACGCGUGGGAACCUGCCCUUAGGUUCGGAAUAACUCCCCGAAAGGGGUGCUAAUACCGGAUAAUGUCUUCGGACCAAAGAUUUAUCGCCUUUGGAUGGGCCCGCGUUGGAUUAGCUUGUUGGUAGGGUAAAAGCCUACCAAGGCGACGAUCCAUAGCUGGUCUGAGAGGAUGAUCAGCCACACUGGGACUGAGACACGGCCCAGACUCCUACGGGAGGCAGCAGUGGGGAAUAUUGGACAAUGGGCGAAAGCCUGAUCCAGCAAGGCCGCGUGAGUGAUGAAGGCCUUAGGGUUGUAAAGCUCUUUUACCCGGGAUGAUAAUGACAGUACCGGGAGAAUAAGCUCCGGCUAACUCCGUG